rnacentral:telomerase_RNA from 1 species
UAACGGGGUGGGAACCUAGGAGAUGAGCCUGCUUAUGAAUUUCUAAACCCUGAACCCUCCCAUGGUUACGAUGGGAAUAUUGAUGUUGGGGGUCUUUGGCCAGCGUUUCCCCCGAAAAAUAAUGAAAAAACGUUGAUGGUUACGUAAGAGGCUCGUCUCCAAUAGUAGACCAAUGGGUUGGGUUUGGUUCGUAGGUGGUUCUGUUGAAGCUAGAUUAGUGUCUUCGGUUAACCGUUUCCUCGCCUUACCCUCCCACCCCUAAAUUUU